AUUAACGCUGGCGGCAUGCCUUACACCUGCAAUCUCGAACGGCAGCACGGGAGCAAUCCUGGUUGGCGAGUGGCGAACGGGUGAGUAAUAUAUCGGAACGUGCCCAGUCGUGGGGGAUAACGCAGCGAAAGCUGUGCUAAUACCGCAUACGAUCUACGGAUGAAAGCGGGGGAUCGCAAGACCUCGCGCGAUUGGAGCGGCCGAUAUCAGAUUAGCUAGUUGGUGGGGUAAAGGCCCACCAAGGCGACGAUCUGUAGCUGGUCUGAGAGGACGACCAGCCACACUGGAACUGAGACACGGUCCAGACUCCUACGGGAGGCAGCAGUGGGGAAUUUUGGACAAUGGGCGCAAGCCUGAUCCAGCAAUGCCGCGUGCAGGAUGAAGGCCUUCGGGUUGUAAACUGCUUUUGUACGGAACGAAACGGUGAGCUCUAAUAAAGUUUGCUAAUGACGGUACCGUAAGAAUAAGCACCGGCUAACUACGUGCCAGCAGCCGCGGUAAUACGUAGGGUGCGAGCGUUAAUCGGAAUUACUGGGCGUAAAGCGUGCGCAGGCGGUUAUGUAAGACAGAUGUGAAAUCCCCGGGCUCAACCUGGGACCUGCAUUUGUGACUGCAUAGCUAGAGUACGGUAGAGGGGGAUGGAAUUCCGCGUGUAGCAGUGAAAUGCGUAGAUAUGCGGAG
rnacentral:rRNA from 1 species